GUAAUAAAAAGUUUAAAAAACUAGAUAAAUAUAAAUAAAAAAACAAGCGAAAAAAAAGAAAAAAAAAAAUUUUUUUUUUUUUUUUGGGGAAAAAAAAAUUGACAAGGUUCCGUAGGUGAACCUGCGGAAGGAUCAUUAAAGAAAUUUAAUAAUUUUGAAAAUGGAUUUUUUUUUUGUUUUGGCAAGAGCAUGAGAGCUUUUACUGGGCAAGAAGACAAGAGAUGGAGAGUCCAGCCGGGCCUGCGCUUAAGUGCGCGGUCUUGCUAGGCUUGUAAGUUUCUUUCUUGCUAUUCCAAACGGUGAGAGAUUUCUGUGCUUUUGUUAUAGGACAAUUAAAACCGUUUCAAUACAACACACUGUGGAGUUUUCAUAUCUUUGCAACUUUUUCUUUGGGCAUUCGAGCAAUCGGGGCCCAGAGGUAACAAACACAAACAAUUUUAUUUAUUCAUUAAAUUUUUGUCAAAAAACAAGAAUUUUCGUAACUGGAAAUUUUAAAAUAUUAAAAACUUUCAACAACGGAUCUCUUGGUUCUCGCAUCGAUGAAGAACGCAGCGAAAUGCGAUACGUAAUGUGAAUUGCAGAAUUCCGUGAAUCAUCGAAUCUUUGAACGCACAUUGCGCCCCUUGGUAUUCCAGGGGGCAUGCCUGUUUGAGCGUCAUUUCCUUCUCAAACAUUCUGUUUGGUAGUGAGUGAUACUCUUUGGAGUUAACUUGAAAUUGCUGGCCUUUUCAUUGGAUGUUUUUUUUUUCCAAAGAGAGGUUUCUCUGCGUGCUUGAGGUAUAAUGCAAGUACGGUCGUUUUAGGUUUUACCAACUGCGGCUAAUCUUUUUUUUAUACUGAGCGUAUUGGAACGUUAUCGAUAAGAAGAGAGCGUCUAGGCGAACAAUUUCUUAAAGUUGACCUCAAAUCAGGUAGAUACCCAUUCCC
rnacentral:rRNA from 1 species